rnacentral:lncRNA from 1 species
UUUUUUUGUUGUGUCUCUGACAGGUUUUGGUAUCAGGAUGAUGCUGGCCUCAUAAAAUGAGUUAGGGGGGAGUCCAUCUUUUUCAAUUGUUUGGAAUUGUUUCAGAAGGAAUGGUACCAGUUCCUCUUUGUACCUCUCGUAGAAUUCGGCUGUGAAUCUGUCUGGGUCUGGCCUUUUUUGGUUGGUAGGUUAUUAAUUACUGCCUCAAUUUCACAACUUGUUAUUGGUCUAUUCAGGGAUUCAACUUCUUCCUGGUUUAGUCUUGGGAGGGUGUAUGUGUCCAGGAAUUUAUCCAUUUCUUCUAGAUUUUCUAGUUUCUUUGUAUAGAGGUGUUUAUAGUAUUCUCUGAUGGCAGUUUGUAUUUCUGUGGCAUCAGUGAUGAUAUUCCCUUUAUCAUUUUUUAUUGUGUCUAUUUGAUUCUUCUGUCUUUUCUUCUUUGUUAGCCUAGCUAGCAGGAUUUACUGAUUUUUUGAAGGGUUUUUCAUGUCUCUAUCUCCUUCAGUUCUGCUCUGAUCUUAAUUAUUUCUUGUCUUCUAGCUUUUGAAUUUGUUUGCUCUUACUUCUCUAGUUCUUUUAAUUGUGAUAUUAGGGUGUCAAUUUUAGAUCUUCCCUGCUUUCUCCUGUGGGCAUUUAGUGCUAUAAAUUUCCCUUUAAACACUGCUUUAGCUGUGUCCCACAGAUUCUGGUACGUCGUGUCUUUGUUCUCAUCGGUUUCAAAGAACUUAUUUAUUUCUGCCUUAAUUUCAUUAUUUAUUCAGUAGUCAUUCAGGAGCAGGUUGUUCAGUUUCCAUGUAGUUGUGCAGUUCUGAGUUUCUUAAUCCUGAGUUCUAAUUUGAAUGCACUAUGGUCUGAGGGACUACUAUGAUUUCCAUUCUUUUGCAUUUGCUGAGGACUGUUUUAAUACCAAUUAUGUGGUGAAUUUUAGAAUAAGUGCUAUGUGGUGCUGAGAAGAAUGUAUAUUCUGUUGCUUGGGGGUGGAGAGUUCGGUAGAUGUCUAUUAGGUCCUCUUAGUCCAGAGCUGAGUUCAAGUUCUGAAUAUCCUUGUUAAUUUUCUGUCUCGAUCUGUCUAAUAUUGACAGUGGGGUGUUAAAGUCUCCCACUAUUAUUGUGUGGGAGUCUAAGUCUCUUUGUAGGUCUCUAAGGACUUGCUUUACGAAUCUGGGUGCUCCUGUAUUGGGUGCAUAUAUAUUUAAGAUAGCUCUUCUUGUUGCAUUGAUCCCUUUACCGUUAUGUAAUGCCCUUCUUUGUCUUUUUUGAUCUUCAUUGGUUUAAAGUCUGUUUUAUCAGAGACUAGGAUUGCAAUCCCUGUUUUGUUGUUGUUGUUGUUGUGCCUUCCAUUUGCUUGGUAAAUAUUCCUCCAUUCCUUUAUUUUGAGCCUAUGUGUGUCUCUGCACGAGAUGAGUCUCCUGAAUACAGCACACUGAUGGGUCUUGACUCUUUAUCCAAUCUGCCAGUCUGUGUCUUUUAAUUGGGGCAUUUACACUUAAGGCUAAUAU